CUGCUUUCUUUCUGUUCCCGGGCGGCAUCGGACCCGUCGGAGAGUAAAUCCCAAGUAAGGUACCUGCCGUUGGCAGAUUUGAGCUUUCUUCUUGGACACCUAAUACCCACAGUCCUCCAGGCUCCGGUAGAUUGCAAAUGACCUGCUUUCUUUCUGUUCCCGGGUGGCAUCGACCCGUCGGAGAGUAAAUCCCAAGUAAGGUACCUGCCGUUGGCAGAUUUGAGCUUUCUUCUUGGACACCUAAUACCCACAGUCCUCCAGUAAAUCCCAAGCAAGGUACCUGCCGUCAGCAGAUUUGAGCUUUCUUCUUGGACACCUAAU
rnacentral:lncRNA from 10 species